rnacentral:rRNA from 1 species
UACGAAGGGGGCUAGCGUUGCUCGGAAUCACUGGGCGUAAAGGGUGCGUAGGCGGGUUUUUAAGUCAGGGGUGAAAUCCUGGAGCUCAACUCCAGAACUGCCUUUGAUACUGAAGAUCUUGAGUCCGGGAGAGGUGAGUGGAACUGCGAGUGUAGAGGUGAAAUUCGUAGAUAUUAGGAAGAACACCAGUGGCGAAGGCGGCUAUCUGGACGGUUUCUGACACUAAGACUCGAAAGCGUGGGGAGCAAACAGG